UGGCGGACGGGUGAGUAACGCGUGGGUAACCUGCCUCAUACAGGGGGAUAACAGUUAGAAAUGACUGCUAAUACCGCAUAAGACCACAGCACCGCAUGGUGCAGGGGUAAAAACUCCGGUGGUAUGAGAUGGACCCGCGUCUGAUUAGGUAGUUGGUGGGGUAACGGCCUACCAAGCCGACGAUCAGUAGCCGACCUGGGAGGGUGACCGGCCACAUUGGGACUGAGACACGGCCCAA
rnacentral:rRNA from 1 species